rnacentral:rRNA from 1 species
CAAUANGUGAAACCGUUUAGGGGUAAACCUGAGAAACCCGAAAGGUCGAAGGGAGAAAUUCAUUCGCGUUUCGACGCCUGGCGACGGACGGAUUUUCGGAUUGGACGAGACGUAAACGCGUCGAGUGCGGCGCGCGCGUUCUUCACGGAUCGCGCGCGUUUUGUGCUCGUUCGCGUGCGAUUUCGCGCCGUCCGUCCGUCGAACCGACGACGAACGCGUGCACUUUUCUCCUGGUAGGACGUCGCGAUCCGUCGGGCGUCGGUCUACGACUUGCGGUGGAGCCCGUUCGUCGUCGUUCACGCGACGCGUACGAACGGACCCGCUCGUUCCGGCCGACACGCUCGACGGUAGUAAUAUCGAGGUCGAAGGUCGCUGCAUUAUUAAAAAGCGUUCGACUCGUCGCAAGCGCGUCACGUGCGACGGCACGCGGACCCGGUGCCGCGUCCGUCCUCUGGCGACUGUUGGCGACGAAGUUCUCGAACAGACCGCUCGGACCGAUCUGCGACGCUAUAGCUUUGGGUACUUUCAGGACCCGUCUUGAAACACGGACCAAGGAGUCUAGCAUGUACGCGAGUCAUUGGGAUAUUGACUAAACCUAAAGGCGUAAUGAAAGUGAAGAGAUCGCACGCGUCGUCGUGCGUGUCGCGCGUUUCUUCGUGCGCGUGCGUCGCGUCGCGAUUUUUCUCCUUCGCGGGGGAAUGUCGCGCGCGCGGUCGUGCUCGUGCUGGAGCGUGCGGGCGCGCGCGUCCGCGCGUACUUUAUAUACUGAGGUGCGCGCGUGACGAGACGCGUGAUUUUCGAUUGGGAAGAGGAACGAUGUCGUUCGCGAAAUCGUUUCGCAUUCCCGGGGCGUCUCGUUCGCAUCGCGCGAUGAGGCGCACCAAGAGCGCACACGCUGGGACCCGAAAGAUGGUGAACUAUGCCUGGUCAGGACGAAGUCAGGGGAAACCCUGAUGGAGGUCCGUAGCGAUUCU